rnacentral:lncRNA from 1 species
AUGCUACCAUUCGUGGAGAACACCAGGGGAAGAAAUUGUGAAAAGGUUUUGCUAGUGAAUCACAUUAUGAAAUCUGCAACCAUGAAAGACCCAUUUGUUGCAUUAUCCAUAAAAGAAAUAAAAGUGAUAACUAACAUGGAAGCUAAACUGGAGGCUAAUAAUGAAGGAGUCCGUAAAGGAGGCCAGUGCCACCAGGGUUAUCUCCUAGCUCCAGAUGCUGGAUAA